rnacentral:rRNA from 1 species
AGAGAGAGACAUGCGCGCAUAUCAAUAAGCGGAGGAAAAGAAACUAACAAGGAUUCCCCUAGUAACGGCGAGUGAAGCGGGAAGAGCUCAAAUUUGAAAUCUUAAAGGGUUUCCCUUUACGAAUUGUAGUUUAAAGAAGUGUUUUCUGUUGAGGUUUUGGUAAAAGUUCUUUGGAAUAGGACAUCAUAGAGGGUGAGAAUCCCGUAUUUGACCUUUACUUUCAACUUUGUGAUACACUUUCAAAGAGUCGGAUUGUUUGGGAAUGCAGUCCAAAAUGGGUGGUAAAUUUCAUCUAAAGCUAAAUAUUGGCGAGAGACCGAUAGCGAACAAGUACCGUGAGGGAAAGAUGAAAAGAACUUUGAAAAGAGAGUUAAACAGUACGUGAAAUUGUCAAAAGGGAAGCGUUUGACACCAGUGUUGUUUUUCUGAAAAUCAAUUAAAGAACUGUUUAUGCUAAGCUGUUUAGACUUUAUCAGCUAUCUGUUUAGUUUUGAGCUUUUCUUUAAUCGCACUUUUCAGUUAACAAGUCAACAUCAAUUUCUUUUGCUGUAAAAAAGCUUGAGGAAGGUGGCUUGAGAUUCGUCUUAAGUGUUUAUAGCCUCUUGCCUAUGCAGUCGGAGAGAUUGAGGUCUGCAGCGUAGAUCCUUCGGGGCUAAAUGCAUUUGUGCUAAGUUAUAGCAUUUUAUAGACAACUUGUUGACUAUGAUUUGUCUUGUAGCUUACUCGCUUAUGUUAUUUUACCUACGCUUAGGAUGUUGACGCAUGAGAUAUACGC